UCUUGGCUCCACACAGUUCCCUUCCUGUGGCUGGCACCUUCCUCCUCCAGUGAGAUCCAAAUCUGGUGCAGGAGGUGUAUUAUGCCUACUUUGAAGGCCAGUUUGUGAGAAGUGAUCUUUGCCAGCUGUGUGGAAUCUGAUCAGGAACACCAAUACCCUGAAUGAACAUGGAAGACAACUGUACUGAUGGCUUUCUUCUACCUGGGGUUGCAAGGACUUCACAGAUCCUUGCUGAUCUUUGCUGGCUGAACAGGCUGGCUCUCAGUGGAAGGGAAGCUGUGACAAAUGGCCCUUGCUUUGUCCCAGCAGGACAUCUUCUCUACCACUGAACAGAGAUUACACCGUGGAAUGAAUUCUGGUUCAAACUGCAAUUGUCUCUGGCAAAUCAGAUUUUUGUGAUGCCUGCUGGGUUACACGUACCUUGGAAUGUCUGAG